rnacentral:rRNA from 1 species
AUUGAACGCUGGCGGCAUACCUUACACAUGCAAGUCGAACGGUAACAGGUCUUCGGAUGCUGACGAGUGGCGCACGGGUGAGUAAUACAUCGGAACGUGCCCGAUCGUGGGGGAUAACGAGGCGAAAGCUUUGCUAAUACCGCAUACGAUCUACGGAUGAAAGCGGGGGAUCUUCGGACCUCGCGCGGACGGAGCGGCCGAUGGCAGAUUAGGUAGUUGGUGGGAUAAAAGCUUACCAAGCCGACGAUCUGUAGCUGGUCUGAGAGGAUGAUCGGCCACACUGGGACUGAGACACGGCCCAGACUCCUACGGGAGGCAGCAGUGGGGAAUUUUGGACAAUGGGCGAAAGCCUGAUCCAGCCAUGCCGCGUGCAGGAUGAAGGCCUUCGGGUUGUAAACUGCUUUUGUACGGAACGAAAAGCCUCUUUCUAAUAAAGAGGGGUCAUGACGGUACCGUAAGAAUAAGCACCGGCUAACUACGUG